AGGUGAAGGCAAUUCAGCUGUGCUGCUGGAAGGGGUGGAGCCUGGUUCCACCACUCCUAGACCUAUUUAAGAGCUGGCUACCAGAGGGGAAGGAUCUCUUCUGGAGAUCACCUCUCCUGGUGUUUUCUGGUGAGCUCAGCUGAAGGGGCAAAACAGAACUUGAAAUGCUUCCGAAUGUCUUCAGAAGACAGAAGGGAACCUAAAGUCUUUCCCUUACUCAUCAUCAGCGCACAUGUGGGACAGGGGGGUAAAAUCCAUACCAAUUUCCAGCCCUCUCUCAUGUCUCCUAUUAUCAGUGCUUUGCCCUGUGUGCUCCAUCCACUGGAACAGCUGCCUUCUCUUCCCACCCGCUCCAUCACUUUCUCAUCUCCCAAAGCCUGGGUUCCUCACCCAGGCCAGGAUGACCAGGAUACAUCCACCACAACUUACAUAUGGAGCUGAGGUUAUCUGCAUGCAGCAAAAGAAUAAAGGCAGCAGAAGUUUGGUACGUAUAUACAAUGGAAACUUGAUGGGGAUAGUGGGAACUCACAUGCAUGUGCCAUCUGCAGGUUGAACAACUGUGUUCCAGUGAACAAAAGGCAGAGUUGGACUCCAUGACCUUUGUGGGUCCCCUCCAACUCAGAAUAUUCUGAGGCUGACAGUGGUGAGAAAUAAGUCACCACUGGGCAUGAGAUAAAAGCACCUGUUGCUUGGAGAGGAUUGCAGGGAAAAGUGACCAUGUGUUUAUAUCAUAUUAUGCAAAUGCAUACGUUUUAUGUAAAUGUAUGCAAAACAUAUACUAGGAGGCUCAGACUAUCACAGGAAAGAAGGGGCCAGAUGCAAGACAGCUGAGAAGAGCUGAUUUCAUGCAGCAAAAAGUUCCCAGACUUGCCCAGCUCAGCCUCCAAUCUGCUGGAGUGGCUCUCAAACUCACCACAGCCCUGCUGGCCACUGUUUUGCUGAUUCCCAGGCAAGGCAUCAAUGCCAGAGAUAGAUGGCCAGUAAGUAGUCUGUUGUGAAAUCUAUUCCUAACAUCAUACAACGUGGUACCGAUUUAGCCAUAGUUCACUCAAUCAACAUGUAAUGCCUUAUCCUUUUCAUGCCUAAGACUUUUUUUCUUUGAGUGCUUACUUUGCAGCUGGGUCUUCCAUUUGCUCAUUGCACCAUUAAGUUCUUUAGCUGAAGACAACCAGGGUCAUUCCCUGAGAGCUCACGGCUUCAGCUAUGGACUUCUGCUGGAGACCGGACCUAUUGAUUUCACCGGAGUCACCCUAUUAACCAGCAGGAAGCAGCAAGAGGAUGUGGGCUGUGUCAUAUACAGCACUAUAGCAAAAAUCUGGACCUCACACCACCCCUUUCAGCUGGGCAGCCCACUUCUAACAGGGAGAAACUUACGAUCGUCACUGAAGUCGUCCACCAGUAUGAUUUCAUGGAUGAGGUGCACUGGGGUGCGGUUCAUCACACUAAAAGACAGAGAGAGAAAAUCUUUGGCAGCGUUUGACCAACUCAUCAGCCCAGAAGAUGGGAAAGAAAAGCUUGGGAACCAGUCUUUGCAAAAGAAUGGCCAGGCUUGUGUUUCUAGAAAGAUAUAAGAGAAGACCCAGAAACUGGUCUCUGCUUCAGUAACCUGCAUUGCCAAGCUAUCAGCUGCCCGCAGCUUAAUCCAACAGCUAAGCAUCUGAUACUCUUGGGAAGUAGAUGGGAUUCACCCUUAUCACCAUGGUGAGCAAAAGAGAGCAGCCCAGAACACCUGGAGGAAGAGGCCUCAUCUACAUGCAUGUUGCACCAAAUUCCCUUUCUGUCAUUUUCACAUCUCUAAUUGGGUAAAUGGCAUGGUGUCCAAUGCCAGCCAGGCCAACACAGAGAAAAUAACCCAGCUAAAAACAUCAUUACACAGCUCACAGCCAUGGCAGGGCAAUCGUUUUUAUCAUUGACCUAGUGGUGCUUCAAGGGUUGCAGAAAGGAUAAGAACAGAGUUGUAGCCCUCCAGCUCCAUGAAAGAAAAGCUGGAAGAUGUGGUCUACAGGUCCCUCCACAUGUACAGUCACUGCAAGGUGUGUCUGAAAGCUACAACCUUCCCUUAAUUAUAUCAAGGUGGUUUUUUUGUAUUAUCAUUAAAAUUACUGGGCCUGAUCUUCCCCUCUCUAGCACAGCACAGAAGUCAGCAGAACUAUACAUAUGUAAAAUCCUACUGCUAUCAAGGGUUAAGGCUGAGCUCUUGAAGCACUGCCCUCUGGGCUUCCCAAAAUCUCUUAAAUGCUGUGUCUGGACACUGGUAACACCAGCCACUGCCACAUGAAAACUCUUAUCAACAGGUUUCCCCAGCUUUUCAGGUUCCCAAACCCCCAGCAAAAAGCUGGAAAAUCCGGAAAACUGUGCUCCUAUUCCAGACCUCUGGGGAGUGCUGCAGAAGGCAGGAAACACAGGGACCUUGGUGGUCUCACAGCACUGGACACCUGAGAACGUUCAUCAAAAGGACUGCAUGGUGCCAUAUGGUAUGGGACAUCCCCAUGGCUGUCUGGGGCAGCUGUCUUAUUUCUGUCCCCUCCCAUCUCCUUGAGCCCCCAGCUCCUCACUGACAGAGCAGUAGGAGAAGUUGGGAAGUCCUUGACUUUGUGCAAGCAUGCAAGUACAGCUCAGCAACAACUGCAACAUCUGUGUGUAUCAAAAUUGUUUUUCUCCUAAGCCUCAAACACAGCAUCACACCAGCCACUAUGAAGAAAAUUAACCCUAUCUCAGCCAAAACCAGGACAACCUCCAAGCCCAGAACUACUUUCCCUGCAGUGACUAUGGAAACAUAUUCUCAGCCUCAUCCAGUUUCAGGACCUGGACAAAAGCCAUAGUUUUCAAAGAAUCAUAGAAUCAUUAAGGUUGGAAAAGACCUCUAAGAUCAUCAACCAUCAAUGUAUCGCCACCAUGUCCACUAAUUCCCAUGCUUCACACAUUUCUCUCAUUAAGGUUGGAGGGGGGGAAAGAAAGCUAGGGCAUACAGAGCCAGUUAGAUGUGCUGUUCCCACCUGUCAAGUAUGUUUUAAUUAUUAUUAUUAAUAGGUUUGUUAUUUUAAAAAAUAUAUAUAUAUCCCCAUAUGUGACAGCUGAAUUCAGCAAAUUACCACAGCUGAGAGUCAGCAAGGGAGAGACAGGAGAGCAAUAUCACGCUCAGUGGAAUAUUUAACAAGCUCUGAUUGCCUGGAAAGCUAACUUGGUGAAACCUGCAGGAAAAAAAAUAGCAGCCUUGUAAAAAAGCCAGCAAACAGCCUGCUGAGAGUGGAAGCGGGGAGGAGUGAGUAGCAUGAAUAUCCAAAGCCUGCAUCCACCCAGCCUCCUAUGCAGCUUUGGCUACCAGAAGUGCAACGCGGGGCUGAACUCUACAGGCAGGUGAUGUCUGUAAGGAUAAGUCAGUGAAAGCCACUACACUGGGCUGUAUUUGCAGAUCUGAGCACUUAGCAGUGUUUGGUGCAUUGGAAAAAUUACCCCAGGGCACCCAUUUAUGAAAGAAGAACCAGAAGGGACAGCUUUCAAGGAGUGCCUACAGUGCCAGCAGCCUGGGACAAACCCUGUUCUUCAGGUUGCCACCCCAUACAUUGGAGAGGGUGCCCCUAAUGCUGUGCACAACACCUUCAGCAGUGGUGGUCACCGCUUUAUCCUGUCUGGGCAUCUUCUGAUCUUCUGCAUCUUGGGGCUCCCUGCCCAAAACUAAGUUCUCACGUGCUUCAGGUUUCACAACUGAAGGCUUUGCUGUUGACCACCGCCUGCUUUUAUUUUUCAUGCAGUCUCCAUAAAGGGUGCCACAGGUGUGGUGGGAUCUCUUCCAGUUAACUGCAACUACAGGCAUCUAAAAUUUGGGACUCCAACAAGUUUACCUCUUAGUCAUGGAGCACAUCUUCCAAGCAUGGAUCACCCCAACUUAAGUUAGUCAAGUGGAAGCCUCUGUUUUCCCUGUGUGAUUAAUCCCGUUCAGUUGAUUUGGAGGAGUGACACCAUCCUAAAGCCCAACUAAGAAAGUUCUGAAGAGUGUGUUCCAGAGAUCUAUCACAGCUUUAAGGGACCUGAUGUUCACUGAUUUUUGUGGGCUUUGGACUCAUUACCACCCUUGCCAAUAUGUCCAAAGCCACCUGCAAGCCCCAAAUGGCUUUCCAGCAAAGCCAAAUUCACAUCUCCAUUACAUUUUCUACCUUCUUCAGGAAGAACUGGAAAACAGAGACACUGAAUCCUUCACGUUUUUGACAUUAAGGGAAUUUUUAAAGGACAGUCUACAAAGCAUUUUUAAAAAUCUAAUACCAGCUUUUCUACUUCAUGGAGCUUUGCUUAGCUUUGAUUUUGUUGUUGUUAUUCUAUAUUUUUAUCUUCCUUUGUGUGUGUGUGUGUGUGUACUUUCUUUUUCUUUUGCAUUUAUAUGGGUAAAAUCCCAAGACAAUAUUAUAGUGCUUUGAAGUCCUUCCAUUAUUUAUGGAUUUUCUUCUCCUUGAAAUCAAACGUAGGUAGAUUUGCUGCAGUGAUGGACAUAUUCUAGCAAAUCAAAACAGCUUUUAAGUUCUGUGGAGCUCGAGAGCACAAUACUUUCUUUCUUAAACCACUCUCAAUACAAAAAAAAUCACGGCUUCUAGUGCUUAAGCUUAUUCAACUCAUUAAGAAUGGAUUCUCUGCUGAAUAAUCUUGCAAAGUUAGUAUGGAAAUGUUCUUUGUUUCAGUGGAUUGAGCAGAUAUUAUGCAGAUGUAACCAUGCAGAAUUUCACACUAAGUUUUCACAAUCAAAUCCAGUUCUACUCCUCAGCAUCUUAUGGAAUCAUAGAAUGGCUUGGUUGGAAAGGAUCUCAAAGACCAUCCAGUUCCAACACAGGCAGUUCCACAGGCAGAGUGGCCAACCACUAAAUCAGGCACACCAGCUCAAGCUGCCCAGGCUCCAUCCAACCUGGCCAUGAACAUCUCCAGGGCUGGGGCAUGCACAUGCACAUCUGGCCAACCCAUGCCAGCACCUCAUUGCUCUCUCAGUAAAAAAUUUCCCCAACAUUUUGUUCAGAUCCUUUCCAGUCUGCCUAAAGACAAGCAUCAGAUCCAAGAACUCCCAUUUCAAACAUCUACCCGUGCAAAUCUCAUCCUGACUCAUAAAAAGUGUUGUCACAGAGCAGUUCAAACUCUCUGACAGAAGGUUGGCAUUUUUUUUUCUUUUUUGGUCACCCAAAACACUAGUUGCUUUGCAGAGGUGGCUUGUGGACAUUAACCUCUGAACCUGUUAAUUCUCUCCAUGGCAACACAGUGGGACUUAGGGAAAAAUGAAAAGAGAAGGGAGAAAGACAGAGAGAGAGCUUUUGGGAGUAAAAUUGAGCCCUGGAGGGACCAAAGGUCACAAUUAUCAAAAUCAGGAUGAGAGCAAGGAGAGGAAAUGCUCACCAAAAUGAACUGCUUCAAUAAAUGAAAAUGACUAAUUAUGGAGGUAGAGAGACAUCACACCAAGAAUAACCAUAAUGAGCUUUGAUUACACUGCAGCUCUCACAUUUUAUUCUUUCAAAUACCCACCACACUCUUUGAAAUUCAAGAGUUCUCUUAUGUUAACAUCAAAAGGUAAAAGUGCUCUUGGCACUGUGUACUUAGUCACUGUGAGAGAUGAUUAGCAAAUUAAAAAAAAAAAAAAAAGUCCAGGGCUUAAGCAAAAUAAAUAAAUAAAUAAAUAAAUAAAAUACCCCAAAGUGCUAAUUAUACAGUUUCUGAGCAACACCUGGCUUGUUUUUGCUCCUUUAAUCAGCCUCACUUCAGUUAUGGCACAGAAUCUGUACGGUGCUACAUGCUGUUGGAGGAAGGAGGUGUUGGCUCUGCUAUUUCCCUGCUCUGAGAGCACUGGAAUGCAGGCAAGGUAUCUGCACGUGAGCAGGAGUGAGGUGUUGGUUGUGCAGAGCAUCACCCUUCUUUCUUGCAAGCGCCAGGAAAGUGACAGGUGUAAUAUUCUACCCUCUAAUUAGGGAUCUAAAUAUUGGAUGUGGUAUUCACAGCACUCGCACUGGGAUGCCUGCCAAAGGACAUGCUUUGGUUUGUCAGCACAAGGUAAAUAAUGAAGCCUCCCUGUUCCUGCUCUGAGGUCUCCAGCUGCAAAUCUGAGGAAUAAAUAUAUGAAUAAAUCAAUCUCCUCAGUGGAGAAGGGUGGAGAGAGAAGGAGAAAAAGACACUGAAAUUAUCCUUAAAGGGGGUCUCUGUAUGGCAGCUUCUUUCCCUCAUUCCUCCUGGGGUUUACACAUGCAGUCCCAUUCCAUGCUACUGACGAGUCACCACCUUUAUUGCAGUAAGCCUUAGAGCUGGACACAGGUGAAAUUGAACACAGAUGCAAAAUAAGAGACUUACUCGAGGUCACUACAAAAGUGAGCAGCUCCAAUAAGAACCCAGCAGUAGUUUCCACAAAUGUGAAGAACCACUUUGCUAUUCACCAUCUCUUUCCCUCUGGACAGUUCUCUUCUGUGGUAUGAUACUCAGUCCUUACUACCUGGGCACUUUCAGGUAUAGCAAGCAUAGCUGCAUACACAUUCACAGAUGCUGACAACAUCAUUUGCAGAGAUUUGGGCAUACCAUUAGCUUAGCUUUUGUUGUUUUUUUUUUUUUUCUCAUUCUUCCAACUGGCAAAUGGCCAGAGAAAGGAUCACAAAACCUUUAAUUAAUCCAUUAUUCCACACAGCCUGCUGGCUUUUCUCAGCAGUUUGGAUGACGCAAAUGGCUCAUCAGCAAAGUGUAGCAAACGCCUGUGACGUGUCUGGUGUAAGGGCUGCUGCAGAGGCUGCAUGCUGGCAUCUCUGCGUCAUGGGCUAGAGCAUUGCCAUCUCUAUCAGGAGCCAAGUGCAACCACAGAACCUGCUAUGCACCUCAGCCUCAGUGCAUGUUGGGCUUUUGGGAUCCCAAGCGAACACGGCAGGGCUGAAAUCUUGGCAAACAAGAGCUACCCCUAUGUAUCUACACGACCUUAGAGCCUACAGCUUGUUGCUAUAGGAAUAGCACCAUCCUUCCUCUCAUAUACACGGUCCUGUGAGAAGUGCUCCCUGGUGCCCUGGUUUGGACAAGCCCAGCGAUCACCCUUGGCACAAUUCCUUCCUCCUGCAACUGAGGUUAAUAGGCAGCGUUCAUUCUGCAGCAGAGGGGGAAACUUAACUCACUCAGGAAACCAGGUGUGUAAUUGCAAAUCUUCCACCAGCUUCCAACAAUCACCUCUCCGUUCCUCACCUGCCACCUGGGUUAUAUCAAGAGUGCACCAUGGGGAUGUAGUGAUGAGAAUGGGGACAACUGCUGCAUGCAGUGUUUUGAGGUACUUGGUCACAAACUGUUCCAAAAGGCAUAAAGCAGCUACAGGAGGACAUGGUUUGUUUGUCUGGCCAAUGGAAAAUGAUCCAUGCUGUUACAGCCACCAUGGGAUGGAGUUAUCUGGAAGACCUAAUUAAACUAAGCAUUUGCUUCUACAGAUCAGUCAGAAGGCACAGCAAAUGAACCCACAGAGGAUGAAGAGGCAGAUGAACUCUCAGCUGGGUCCAACCACAGGCAGAGAGAUGGCAAUACAAGCACAGUCAUGGCCAGAGGGGAGCAAGGCAGGAGCCAUGUCACAAGGAAGACUUGCUACUAAGGGCUGGAGGGAUCACAGCAAACCCCAGAGUGCUGUUUCCAAAAAGAAAACAGGAAAACUUGUUGCUGGAAGGUCAUCUCCAAACCACAGGAAUUAGGAGAAAAAGUGCUAUUUCCUAAAGGUCAGCUCAUGAGUGCACAGCAUGGCAACUACAGAGAGGCAGGGGGAACCAGGCAUAAUGUCUAACAUCUCUCAUGUGGCAGCAUCAUUCCUGAUCAUAAUUGCCAGCAGAGUGAAGUGCCAAGGUAUGGGAGAGAUGAGGCUGAAGUCUGUCCCCACACUUCCCACAUUAUAGAUGCUCCAGAGGACUGUGCUUGACUUUGCCUUGCCAUCCCUGUUACAGUGGAGUCUGGAAGAUGAUAGCCCCAAGCAGGGCACUGUAAACGUAAAAGAAAAGGUUCAGCAUGAAGGACUUGGUACAUAAUAUGAAGUGUCAGUGCUGUGCACACCCAAAAUCCAGUCACCCUAGACAGAGAAAGCAGUAAUAGGUUAUUAAGUGUGAAUUGAAGGAGAUGGGAUUGGGCAGAAAACCAUAAAGCAAAGCAGGAAUUCAAUUUUAGGACUGUCAAACUCGCCUGUGGCAUGGAGUGCACCCACCUGAGGAUGGAUGCUGCUUCUAGAGGAGUGCUUAUUCAGGAUGUGACGGUGAACACGGCAGGGCUGAAAUCUUGGCAAACAAGAGCUACCCCUAUGUAUCUACACGACCUUAGAGCCUACAGCUUGUUGCUAACCAAGUCUUCACUAUGUGAGCAUGGAACAUAGCUGUGAAAUGUUUAUUAUUGUCAGACAGCAGAGAACUUUCCUUAAAAGAAGAUACCAGCUGGGACCUGGACACAGGCCUCUCAAAGGUGUGAUGGACACAUUUCAUUAUAUAUUCCCUCAAGUGCAGCAAGGCACAUGCUGGGAUUAAACACUGAUUUUUAAAUUCUGCAGUGGAAAUGAAGCCUUUGUCUCUAACUGACUACAGCAAAAUCUAGCCAAGAACAAACCGACAAAUUAAAGAAUGGCCACGUUCCCAGAGCAUUCCAAAGUGCACCCAGAAGAGAACAGAAACUAUCCUUGAAAAUCUUGUCUGCAUGUGUACUAUUAGAGCUUCUCAAUUAGUAAAGCCUUUCUGGCAUUGGAUGGCUCAGUGGAGAAGCUCAAGCAGCAAUACCAGAGCAGAUUUGCAGAAUGAUGACCACCCCUAGGCAACAGGGACAGCACAGAGCUGAGCACUGGUACCCAGCUGCAUUUAAAACUGUUAUUCCAGGCUCUGUAAUAAACUUUUGCCUCUCCUCUCAGACAGCCCAAUACUAGACCGGAAAAGCAAGCACAACUACUUGCUUCCCAAGCACCUCUCUGUAAAACCUACUUCUCAGAGACCAAAUUUCAUGCUAAUUUCCCCUGGUAAUUGUGCUCAUAGCUGGUGGGUCUAUUCACUUUGCUGCAGUGAGUGCUGGCACAUUCUGCCUUUCUUCACAGAAAGCUCAAGCCUACUCACCCUUUCUAAAAGCAUUUACGACUAUGCUUCAGGAGACAGA